CAUAUCUAAACAACAGACAGAAGCAAUCACCACACGCUCGCGAUCGCUGCGAAUGCAGGCUCCGCUCGCCCGCCCUCGGCCAGGAAGCAGGAGCACUGCGCCUGCGCAAGAGACGGCGGCCGCCCUGGGGCAAAGAGGGUCGUGGUCACAAAGAAGUUGGGAGGUUUCCAGUACCAGACAAAAUGGAGUAAGGCACUGCAGUCUCUGCCACUGAUCACAACUAAAAAUUCUGGACAAAAUGCAACUAAGGACUCUGAAAAGUAAACAAGCAGCCAAAUUACAGAAAGGAAUCAAAGCUUGAGGAAACUAUCUGUAUGGGAUCUGUCCCCAAGAUGAUGAGACAGAAUUUGCAGUUUGAACCUCAUUAGAUUGAUUGCCUAUGAAAACAAACAAAACAAAAACAAAGUCAACACCUUCUUUUUUUUUUUUUAGAUGGAGUCUUCACUCUGUCCCCCAGGCUGGAGUGCAGUGGCACAAUCUCGG